CACUUCUAAGGAAGGCAGCAGGCGCGCAAAUUACCCAAUCCUGACUCAGGGAGGUAGUGACAAGAAAUAACAAUAAACCGGCUUAUGCCGGUUUAAUUGGAAUGAGUACAAUUUAAACAUCUUAACGAGGAACAAUUGGAGGGCAAGUCUGGUGCCAGCAGCCGCGGUAAUUCCAGCUCCAAUAGCGUAUACUAAAGUUGUUGCAGUUAAAAAGCUCGUAGUUGGAUUUCUGUGGGGACGGAGCGGCCGGCCGCAACACGCGGUUCGAGCUAGCGCUUUCCCUACAUCCUGCCGCGAACCGUGCUACCAUUAGUUUGGUGGCGCCGGGGAUCGGCUCGACUACUUUGAGAAAAAUAGAGUGUUCAAAGCAGGCCACAUGCCUUGAAUAAGUUAGCAUGGAAUAAUAACUAAGGACUUCGGUUCUAUUUUGUUGGUGUUCGGGACUGAAGUAAUGAUUGAUAGGGACAGUUGGGGCGGUCUGUAUUCCAAAGCGAGAGGUGAAAUUCUUAGACCUUCGGAAGACAAACAGCUGCGAAAGCGUUCCGCAAGGAUGUUCCCUUUGAUCAAGAACGAAAGUUGGGGGAUCGAAGACGAUCAGAUACCGUCGUAGUCUCAACUAUAAACUAUACCAGCUAGGGAUCGGCCAACGUUAUUUCAUACCGACUUGGUCGGCACCUUAUGAGAAAUCAAAGCAUCUGGGUUCCGGGGGGAGUAUGGUCGCAAGGCUGAAACUUAAAGGAAUUGACGGAAGGGCACCACCAGCCGUGGAGCCUGUGGCUUAAUUUGACUCAACACGGGAAAACUUACCAGGUCCAGACAUAGUAAGGAUUGACAGAUUGAUAGCUCUUUCUUGAUUCUGUGGGUGGUGGUGCAUGGCCGUUCUUAGUUGGUGGAGUGAUUUGUCUGGUUAAUUCUGUUUACGAACGAAAC
rnacentral:rRNA from 1 species